CAGAGACUGCAAGCGUUAUUCGGAUUCACUGGGCGUAAAGGGUGCGCAGGCGGUCGUGUGUGUCAGAUGUGAAAUCCCGGAGCUUAACUCCGGAACUGCGUCUGGAACUACACGACUAGAGCAUUGGAGAGGGAAGUGGAAUUCAUGGUGUAGCAGUGAAAUGCGUAGAUAUCAUGAGGAACACCAGAGGCGAAGGCGACUUCCUGGACAAUUGCUGACGCUCAGGCACGAAAGCAUGGGGAGCAAAAGGGAUUAGAUACCCCUGUAGUCCAUGCCCUAAACGGUGCACACUAGGUCUUGGAGGAUUCGACCCCUUCAGGGCCCAAGCUAACGCGUUAAGUGUGCCGCCUGAGGACUACGGUCGCAAGACUA
rnacentral:rRNA from 1 species